ensembl:lncRNA
AGCCCAAGGGAACUAAGGACCUUUAUUUCACAUUCACGCAGCUGUACAUAUUCUAUAAAUAAUGUGGAGCUGAAAUAUUUACAGUCAUCCAUGCACCAGGCUGUCUCCAGGUACCAGGAGACCUGGCCUCAGAUGGGCCCUGUCCCACCCCUCCUCAGAGCAGCCAGCAUCCCAGGGGCUCCGUCACCCCCAACCACUGGCCUGUCGCUCCAUAGGGAGACUGCGCUCCGGCCGCAGACACAGCAAGCUGGGGCCAUGAGGAGGAGAGGCAGGGAGGUCCCCACUCUGCCAGCUGCUUGCCUUCCUUUCCGGCCCCCAGCCCACAGAUCUCAGGGGACUGCAGAUCACAGAGGACAGAGAGCCGGGCUCCUUCCCGGAGUGUCAUGAGGCCAAGGCCAAAGAACUGCACAAUGUCAAAGGACACUCAAUGGGGACUCACGCUGGUCCCAUGAACCCAGGCUGUCCCGAGCCCGGGGUACGGCAGGCUGGCCUCUGGGGAAGCAGAGAGGGGGAAGGGGGAAGCGAGCACCACAGCCUGAAGACAGAGGCAAGGACACGCUCAGGGACAAGCAGGAGCCAGCUAGGCCACGCGGGGGCUCACAGGACACAGGCGGGGAGCCACCCACUGCACGGCAGUGGUGGGAGAGGGGCGCCCCCGGGCCGGAUGGCAGCCUGUCCCUCUCGGGCUGGAGGUGGCAGGCCGGGGUGGUGGAGUAAAGGCUGCUGUUGGAAGGGGAGGCCACAGCAUGGAAACAGGGUUGGAAGCUCUCCCCACGAAGGCCCUGAGCUCUGUGGCCCAGAACAACUCCCGGGUCACCCCUCCUCCGGCUGCUGCAGGUCUGAGGGGUCUGCUGUCACCAGAGGCCCUGGACUGGAAGCACUAAGAGCUCCUGCGACACCGAACCUGCCCGGCAGAUGCUGAAAGACGGGGCUAAGCUGGCAAGCAGAGGGAGAAAGCCUGGCACAGGGGGUCCUGGGCCCUGGCUAUCUGCUGCCUGGCCAAGGGCUGGGGGCGUCCACGGGGCCAGGCUCAGCACCUCGGGAGAGGAACCAGGGCACGCGGGGCAGGGGAGAAAGGCACUUGUGUGAAGAGGCAGAGCCGGGAACGGACCUGGGAAGACGGCGCUGGCCGCAGAGGGCAUCAGCUUAAAGAAUGUCCACGAGAGAAAAAGUAACACUGCGUUAGAACACCAAGAGGAAAGAGUCAGCUCGUGGGCGGAACCGCAAUGAAGCAAAGAUGAUCCUGCCAUACCCCCAUCAAAAGAAGGGGUACAGGGCCUGUUGAGCAGGGCACAGAGUGGGACACUGAGAGGAGGGGGAGCAGGAAGAGUCAGCAGGAGAAGGAAAUGGCAAACACACGCACACUCCACAGGACAGAUGGGUGCGCACACGCACACCCACGCGACCAGGCAGGCAAGAUCAGGGCCACACCACCAAGCAAAGCAAUCCUGGACACAUGACAGAGGCGCGGCGGCCACGUGAGACGCUCCCACUCACACUGCGUGAGUCUAACGGACGGCGGCUCGGCCACCGAGCCUCGCUCUCCCGGCUCCCAGCAUGGCUCCGCGGCACGUGCCUGGAGCUCGGUGUCUCACCACGGUCACGGUGCCCUCCCCUCAGCUGUCCAGCUCUCCCCUGCGGCCCUCAUGCUCCCUGGGAUGCCCUGGGGGCCUGGGCCCUGAUCCCCACUGGGACAGUGGGCCACGCUGUACCUACCUGGUUGUGCAUGAACUUGAGGUUGAUCCCUUCCAGGGUGACCUGCAGCAAGCCACCCUCGCCAGUCUUCAUGUCCUGCACGGGAACUCGCCGCCCAGCUC